ensembl:lncRNA
CCUCUAUCGUAGCCCUAUACAAGAACAAAGGCUCAUGAGCAGCCUGUGACAACUACAGAGGCAUCUCACUACUCUCCACUGCUGGAAAGAUCCUCACCCGUGUUAUACUCAACAGACUCCUGUCAUCUGUUUCAGAGCAGAACCUGCCUGAAUCACAAUGUGGCUUCCGACCAGAUCGCAGCACCAUCAACAUGGUCUUCACAGUGAGGCAAAUGCAGGAAAAAUGCCUUGAGCAGAACCCGAGUCUCUACAUUGUCUUCAUAGACCUGACAAAGCCAUUAGACACAGUGAACAGGAACGCAUUGUGGGUGAUCCUCAGCAAGCUCGGUUGCCCAGCAAAAUUCGUCAAACUGAUCCAGCUCUUUCAUGUCGACAUGACAGGGGAAGUCCUAUCUGGUGGAGAGACUUCCAAUCGCUUCAACAUCUCCAAUGGCGUGAAACAAGGCUGUGUCCUCGCUCCGGUACUAUUCAACCUAUUUUUCACCCAAGUAUUACGACAUGCUGUGAUGGAUCUAGACCUGGACGUCUACAUCAAAUACCGACUGAAUGACUCACUAUUCGACCUUCGCCGCCUGACUGCAAAAACAAAGACAACAGAGAGACUCAUCCUGGAAGCUCUCUUCGCAGAUGACUGUGCUCUCAUGGUCCACCAAGAAAAUCAUCUCCAAACCAUUGUGGACAGGUUCUCCACCGCAACAAAACUGUUUGACCUGACUAUCAGCCUCAGCAAAACAGAGGUGCUGUUCCAACCUGCACCAGGGAGGCCAACUAACCAGCCGUGCAUUACAAUCAACAGCACGCAGCUUUCUAACGUCAACACUUUCAAGUACCUGGGCAGCACCAUCGCCAACGACGGGUCCCCAGACCACGAGAUCAAUGCCAGGAUCCAAAAGGCCAGCCAGGCACUUGGGCGGCUGCACUGCAAAGUCCUCCAACACAGCGGUGUAAGCACUGUGACGAAGCUCAAAGUGUACAACGCAGUGGUCCUCAGCUCGCUCCUGUACGGUUGUGAAACAUGGACACUGUACCGGAAGCACAUGAAACAGCUGGAGCAAUUCCACCAACGCUCCCUCCGGUCAAUCAUGAGGAUCCGAUGGCAGGACCGAAUCACCAAUCAGGAAGUCCUCGACAGAGCCAACUCCACCAGCAUCGAAGUAUUGGUCCUCA